CAAUGUAGGGUAAUAACUGCUUGAUCCAAGGAUAAAUCUGACUGCCAUUCUGGGGUCAAGAAGGAAUUUUUUUCCUAGCUUGUUGCAAAAUUGUGCUUCAAACUGGGUUUUUUUGCCUUCUUUUGGAUCAACAGCAAAAAACAAAUGUGAGGAAGGCUGAACUUGAUGGACGUAAGUCUCUUUUCAGCUAUGUAACUAUGUAACUAUGUAACUAUGUAACUA